CAGAUUUAAGUCCGCUGGAGAGGGCGUCUAGUUGUUAAUUAGAUAUUUCCAGGAUCGGGUCCUGGUGGCCUAG
rnacentral:tRNA from 1 species